UACGUAAGUGGCGAGCGUUAUCCGGAAUUACUGGGCGUAAAGCGUGCGUAGGCGGUUUAGUGUGUGGGAUUUGAAAGCCCUGGGCUCAACCUGGGAAUUGCAGUGGAUACUGGCAGGCUAGAGUACGGUAGAGGAUGGUGGAAUUCCCGGUGUAGCGGUGAAAUGCGUAGAGAUCGGGAGGAACACCCGUGGCGAAGGCGGCCAUCUGGACCAGUACUGACGCUGAGGCACGAAAGCGUGGGGAGCAAACAGG
rnacentral:rRNA from 1 species